CCAGACUCCUACGGGAGGCAGCAGUGAGGAAUAUUGGUCAAUGGGCGAGAGCCUGAACCAGCCAAGUCGCGUGAGGGAGUACUGCCCUAUGGGUUGUAAACCUCUUUUGUCGGGGAGCAAAAGCCGGACGUGUCCGGCUGUGAGAGUACCCGAAGAAAAAGCAUCGGCUAACUCCGUGCCAGCAGCCGCGGUAAUACGUAGGGAGCAAGCGUUAUCCGGAUUUAUUGGGUGUAAAGGGAGCGUAGGCGGUUAGAUAAGUCUGAUGUGAAAGCCCACAGCUUAACUGUGGGAUUGCAUUGGAAACUAUAGAACUAGAGUGUCGGAGAGGUAAGUGGAAUUCCUAGUGUAGCGGUGAAAUGCGUAGAUAUUAGGAGGAACACCAGUGGCGAAGGCGGCUUACUGGACGAUGACUGACGCUGAGGCUCGAAAGCGUGGGGAGCAAACAGGAUUAGAUACCCGAGUAUA
rnacentral:rRNA from 1 species